CCCUUAGAUGUCCUGGGCCGCACGCGCGCUACACUGAUGCAUGCAACGAGUUUAUAACCUUGGCCUGAAAGGUCUGGGUAAUCUUUUGAACGUGCAUCGUGAUAGGGAUAGAUUAUUGCAAUUGUUAAUCUUGAACGAGGAAUUCCUAGUAAACGCGAGUCAUCAGCUCGCAUUGAUUACGUCCCUGCCCUUUGUACACACCGCCCGUCGCUACUACCGAUUGAACGGUUUAGUGAGGGCCUCGGAUUGGUCUCGGCCCGCUCUUUACCGGGCGGCGCCGUUGGUCGAGAAGACGCUCGAACUUGAUCGUUUAGAGGAAGUAAAAGUCGUAACA
rnacentral:rRNA from 1 species